UCACUCGCGCCGCAGCCGCCGCUGCGGCUGCAGCUGCGGACCUGGACCUCGAUGGACCGCAAUGGACCUGGACAGACUUGGAAGGACCCGGAUGGACCCGGAUGGACCUGGACGCUGAAGAAUCCUGCCUGCAGCUUCUUGCUUCAAUUUAGCAAUCCUUCCCCUGGCUUUCAACCAUGAAGUUCUUUCCAGCCCUGCUUCUCAUGACCAUCAUGGCCCAGCCACUCACAAUCCGAUUCUAGGAAGGAAUAUCUGGGACCAUAACAGAAGCGAAGGGUCUAGGAUACCAGAGGUGGGGAGGAAGGGCCCAUGCCCUGGAAUGCUAUGUCUGUGAAUACAAAGGGUACAACUGCUUCAAGCCCAUGAGGUGCCCCGAUUAUGUCAACUACUGUAUGACCACCCGGACCUAUAUCACUCCAACCAGGGUAACAGUCAGCAAGUCCUGCGUCCCCACCUGCUUUGAGACCCUGUACGAUGGCUACACCAAGAAUGCUGCCACCACGUCCUGCUGCCAGUAUGACUACUGCAAUGGGGCUAGCCUUGGGGCCCAGGCUUCCUCAGCUCUGGCCCUCACCACAAUCCUCAGCACGCUCUGGGGGCUGCUCCCCCCCAGCCUCUGACCCAGGCUAACUGGACCCCUUCCCUUUUCCCAGAAGCCCCAGAUCAACUUGGCUCUGUGAGAGAUGAGGAGAACAUGGCGACUUCAUAACUGUCCCUGGCCCCUGCCCCACACAUCGAGCCCCUCCCAUGGCCUCUUCCCAGGACCACCUCAUCUGCCAGAAGCCCCCAGCACUCGUGGGAUGUCAGACCCUCCCCAGGUGCUUUCCGUUCAAGUCUAGAUCCUCCCAUUGCUGUAACAGGCCUGGGAGUCCUUCCCAUACCACCAGGGGAUGGGAGUGGUCCUUGUUUCUAGCUAAUCCAUAGGCUUCUUCUCUGCCUGUCACUGAAGUGGGAAUCUGUUUGGAACCCAGAGUUGGGGGGGCAGAAGGGGAAGAGGCUCUUGGAUUCUUGGAUUUACCCAUACCCUUGUUCCUGGACUAGUUUUAUUUUUAUGCUGGCCGUCUCGGAACUCUUCACACCUCUGCUCCUCAACCCCAUCCACUUUUCAAAAUGUCUGACUUUGAACUUGAUUGACUAAUGUGGGACCUGACACCUGAAAAGUUCAUGGAUCUGCCAUCCACACUGGACUCCUUCUGCAGGGAUGAGUGUUGGGGGAAGACCAAUUUAGGGUGGGGUAUGAGGGGGGGGAGGCACAUACACAGGGGUUGGACAAGUACGGUUUUUUGUUACCUGUUGUGUUCUGAUGGGGGACUGGGGGUGGGGGUGGAAGCAAUAGAAUACUGCCGCUGGGGAGGGAGUGGGAGAUAUAGAGAACCUGGUCAAGGGAGAAAAUACCCCUAUCCCUAGGAAGCCCCUGGUCUGAGAUGGAUUGUCAUAGUUAACCCCUUAUUUCAGUUGGCUCUUCCAGAGGAAUGGGAAGAGACUGAGUCCACAGGAAGGUAAGGCCUACCCAAAGACUGACACAUACCAUGGAAGGUUGAGAUGUAGGGUAGCUUUUCCUGAGCUGCCCUGGGAAGGUCCUCACAGAUAGAAUUGCUGAACGUGAGAGCUGGAAGAUCCCUUAGAGACCAUCUAGUCCAAUCCACUCAUUUUACAGAAAAGGAAAUCGAGGCACAGGUUGGUGAGGUGACUUGUCAAUGGUCACAAAGUGAGGUUGUCUGUAACACUGGGUCCCCUGGGUUCCGACACAACUCAGAUCCUCUUGUUACAUCACUGGUCCCCUGUGCUAUUUUGAGUCACUUAUCCCAAAACCUCAAGCUUGAGCCCCGGCCAUUACAUUUCUAUGCCACACCAAAGAAAAUAUACAUGACCAUUGAAACACACACACACACAUUUCAUUACAGCAGAAUAGGAAGGUAAAUAACAGGGUAGAAAUGUUGUCUGUACUUAUGCACAAAAGAUUGCCGUAUCCUGUGCUUUUAAUCCCCUCUCCCACCCUUAGCUAUUCCACUUUCAGUUCAGACCCAAGGAACCUCAGUGAACCUUAGGGUUUGAAAUCAUCUGCCUCUUGGGUUUCUUUCCUUCCAGUCUCAGUGGGGCGAGAUAUAUAGAACGAAUGUCUAAGGGCUGAAUGAAAGCUGGUCUCCUACCACAACUCUGGAAUCAUCCCAUAGUGGUCUGGCCAGGCCAUGUAGCCGCCUGUGUUCCCCACAGCUCUCACAGCCCCACUGUUUGCUUUUCCCAUAUGCUCAUUUCUGUAGCUCCUGAACCGCUAAGCUUCAGUACCUUCUGAUCUCUCUCAUCAUAUAGUAGCUACCUCCCUUUUCCAAGUCUGUGCCCCUACUCCCUAAUCUCCGAUCCUUAACAUCUGUUCUGCCCUUCCAAGUCUGCACUGCCAGCUCCCUUCACGUGGCUGCUCUCCCCUUCCUAGUUUAAGCCCACCUGACACAGUUCCUCUUCAUUCAGAUUUUGCAACCAACUGCCCAUCUACAACGGUUGGAGAGAGGGGAUUCUAUUUCUCCGGUUCUCCAUAAUUUCUGUCGUCCUGGUUGCCAGGGAGUCCAACGAGCUCCCCUGUGGGCAGCAGGCGGUUUUAGUGUGUUGCCUUAGCAGAGUCCCAAUGCCAACCCACAGCUUCUUCUGGUGCUUCUCGUGUGCCUCUGUGCAGGAACGCUCUUGUUCCCCUGGCCUGCAUCUGCCUGUUUCUGUAGCUGUGAUCUUCACAGUCCUGUGGCCAGCCCACCUGACAGCUCUCUGGCUUGCCAUGCUGCUGCCCCUCUCCCACAUAGCUGCUCCAACCUGGAAGCCCCUGUUCACCGCUCUCUGCCGCAUUUGCCUCUGUAAUGGGCUGGCCUAACUCCUGUGGGUGCAUGCCCACUUCUGCUGCUGUGGCACCCAUCAAACAUCAGUCUGGUGGACCACAGCUUUCUGAUAAACCUGUGCUGAAUUCCUUCCUUAAGUGCGCCCAGUAAGCAUGUGUUGACGUUGGCAAAUCGAUGGGAGAUGGAGGAAUGCAGCCCAGAAGUGAAGGGGUGGGAGGGUGGGCCUCUUUGGAGGCCUUCCUUCUGGGCUGUUGCCAGGGUGGCUUGCCUUGACCUGUGAUCCUGAACCUUUUAGCAUCUCUGAGAAAAGUGUCACCGAUCCACCUUCCACUUUCUCUCUCUGAUGCUCGAGGGAACAGGACCCAGGAAAGGCUUCAAGGGCUGAGGUUAGGAUCUUUGGGGUCUAGACAAAGCCCCAAAUGUAUCUUUGUUGCUUGGUACUGGUGCACUGGAAUUCAGCUUCUGAUCAAAGUCUGGAUUCCUCUUGAGUGAAUCCAGCACAGAUGUGUUCGUUUUGGUCCACAGUCAAAGUGAGAAGACAGCUGCUUCACCGGUUCUUUUGCUGCUGUCUGUAGGUGGUUUCCCACAGCAGGCUGCCUUGACCUCUGGUCUCCUGACCCUUCAGGAGAAGGUGGCCCUGCUUAUUAGUUUGGGCCCAUCUGGACUCACUUCGAGGUCUGCUUGUACUGUAGCAGCCUCCUUUCUGCCUCAGUUUCCCGUCCCUGAGGCCAAGUGACACCAGUUUGGGUAAUUUCUGAUAUGUCUGUCCUCUUCUCUUCUCUCCUCUUCUCUCCUCCUUCUCCUCCUCCUCUUCCUCCUCCUCUUCCUCCUCCUCUUCCUCCUUCUUCUUCUUCUUCUUCUUCUUCUUCUUCUUCUUCUUCUUCUUCUUCUUCUUCUCCUCUUCCUCCUUCUUCUUCUUCUUCUUCUUUUCUCUCUCUCUCCCUCUCCCUCCCCCUCCCUCCCCCUCUCUCCCCCUCCCUCCCUUACUCCUUCUCCCUCCCUCUCUUUCUCCUUUUCCCUCUCUCAACCCCUUCCUCUUUCCUCCCACUCUCUGCCUUUUCCUCUGUCUUUCCCACCUCUAUACCCCCUUCCAUUCCCUCCCUCUUUCUCUCUUCCUCCCUUUAUGUCUUUUCCUUCCCUCCUCUCAAUCUCUCUCUCUCUCUCUCUCUCUCUCUCUCUCUCUCUCUCUCUCUCUCUCUGUCAGGCAUAUCAACCUUAAGUUAUUGAAAGACUGCCCUGAUAGGUGCAACAAUAGGGUUUCCCCUUGGGCACUUGGGUCAGUCUGUAGUUGUUUAUGUGCUCAGCAGGCAGUGCUCUUCCAAUCAUCAGCUUCUGGAGCAACCUUGCCCAAUGGAGCACAAAGUUAGAGGCUGCACUUCCCUCCUAUUGGGGGGAAUUGAGGGACUGGACAUCGAGUUCCUGUGAAUUCUCUGCACCUCCAAAUUAUCCACACUCUGCAAGCACCGCAAACCAUAACCUUGGAACUCUGCAUUUUGGGGGAGUAUAGUUUAAAAAAACAACUCACUUUCACAACUCUACAGUCUAUACAACCCGGUGGAAAGCUGGUUCCCUGAUGUAACACUACUAGCAGGUUGACAACCUGCAUUCCAUAAAAUUAUUGCCACUGGGUUGGGGGCUGCUGAGGAUCUCUAUGACCCUCAGCCUACCCUCUCACCAUGUUGGCUUUAUCCUUGUUCACUAUUUCCUGGAGGGGAGGGGGGAGGUAAUAACUAGUUCCAAAGUAACCCCAGUAACACUUGCCUUUUUAGUGAUAUUGGAAUUUCCCAGUUUAAGGAAGUUCACGAUAGUUAACAGUUAUCCCUUCUCCAUUCCAAUAUACCUUAGCCAGGACUCAACAACCCCUCCAAGUGCCCUAGGCAGGCUGUAAAGUCUUUGCAAUACAAUCACAAUCAUCCAAAUAGGUACCCCCCAAAAAAAGAACAAAAAAACAAAAAAAUAACAAAAAACAAAAACAAUAGUCCUCGAACUGUCCAGUCCUGUUGUUAUGUGUCGGAUUUUGAACACCUGAAUAGCCCCGGUGACUGACUAUUCAGCUCUGUUCUUCAGGUGUGUAAUGUAUGAUGACAAUUCAAAACUUAACUCACAUCCACAACUCUACAGUCUACACAACCCGGUUCUACAAUGUCACUACAACAACACACAAUAAACAAUAACUCCGGAAAAAAAA